rnacentral:misc_RNA from 1 species
AAGUCGUAACAAGGUUUCCGUAGGUGAACCUGCGGAAGGAUCAUUAACACGUAUCCAAACGUAAAAAACCCCCCCCGUGAACAUUCAAUCCUGCUCUUGUAACCCGCGUAGUUCGCAAUCUCUGGUAAAUCAUAGCCCGGAAAGUAGUUUUGAUUCAGAGACCUCUGGCUACGUGAGAACAUUGGAACAGUUACAAUCGAGCGGUAGUUUCAUAGGCAUUGUUUCCCCAAGCAGUCAGUGUCUGAAAGUGUCACUGCCAAUGUAUUACAUUGAGCUUCACAUUAAACUGUGGGGUUAUGAGGGGGCAUGGGGACCCUUUGGCAUAGCUCCUGCCCGAGUGUACGGUCUACAGGAAUCGUUGAAGCGCUAUCCUUGCACAAUGUAAAAAAACCGAACAACUGUUAACAAUGGAUAUCUUGGUUCUC